GCCAACUUUGUUUUUUCAUUACUAAAUAUUAUCAGAUUCAGCAGAAAAAUGACAGAAAUAGUGAGAAAUUCAAUAACAAAACCCAAAUAUUUUCAAAAUCCAAAACCCAAAUAUUACUUCCAUUUUUUCAUCUUCUUCCUCAAGUCCUUCAUUACUUCCCUUCAUCAAAACUCUUUACUUUUCUUCCUCUUCACUUUCUUCUUGUUCUUCACUUUCUCCAUCUUCUUCCUCUUCACUUUCUUCAUCUUCAUCUUACUUUCUUCAUCUUCAUCAAAUCUUCAUAACAAAAAAAUCCAGAAAAUUAAAAAUCAAAACCCAAAUAUUUUCAAAAUCCAAAACCCAGAAGCAAUGAGUCAAAGCUGCACCUUUGAUAUAUUUCUCAACAAUCUACACAAAACAUAAACAAACCCAUAAAAUUCUGUUCAUGAAUAAAAAGUUUUUUUGGAUGUUUACCAUAAACAAACCCAUAAAAUUCUUCAAGGUAGUAAUAAAGGA
rnacentral:lncRNA from 1 species